UCUCCAGAAGAAAUAAUCGACCCCCCGUGAUUGCCGCACACUGCUUUGGCAAACGUUACUGUUCACUCCAGGACCCGUAUGAGAAGGUUUCGUCCAGCUACAUGGGUUGUCGUACGAGAUGAGAUCUGGCUCGACGCCCCCUCCAGUUUCGAUCUCUCUCUCUCGUUGACGUCCUCUGCAAUCCUAGGAAAGCAACACGACGCCGCAUUGGUCAGCUCGGUCACCGGAAAGCUCCACUUCGCAGCGAUGUCCGUCUCUGAAGAUUUGACAGGGUGAUCAUUGGAAGCCAAGAGGCGACAGAGGUGUUUAUAGCUCAGAAAAAUAUUUACAGCAGUGGCGCAUGGCUUCAGGAAAUUUUUCUCCAUUCGAUGUGAGAAAAUCAUCAAAUCACUGUUCGAGGCUUGCUGUGGUUGUGUUUGUGGCAUUUAGCUUAUCUGCGAUUUGGAUAUUCCUUCCAUCUUCAUCUACUUUUCCAGUUCAGAAUCCUGACUUGCUACAUCAAGAGAAUAAUAAUUUGGGACGAAAAGUAACUGAUGGAAGCUCAGGGAAUACUCAAAUUCAAAACCCGGAUGUUGCAAACAAUGACAAAAGAACAAUUGAAACAGGGUCCGGGAAUGCAGUUCAGCAAGCCAAGGCUGAUUCUGCUAAUACAGCGGGAGCAAACCAGGAAGAGAAAAUACCAGAGGACAGCACUAAUAUGAAGACAUCCUCAGCAAACACACCUGACAAAUCUGACAUUGAGUCUAAAUUUGAGGAUGGAACAGAGGAUAUACAGAAAAGUAACCAGCACGAGAGCGUUGAGUCUGGAGAGAAACCAAAUGUGGAAACGAGAAAAACAGAUGGAGGUCAACAUGAUGGAGAACAAAGUAUGGCUAGUGAAGGAUCUGAUUCUGAUGAAAAGUUGAAUUGGUCAAAAGGAAAUGAUUCUGACGUGGAUGAUAGCACCAAAAGACCGAAUGCUCAGGACAGCUUUGAUGAGGUUAAGCAGGAAGAAAAAGAGGUCAAGCAGAAUAGUCAGAGUGUUCGGGAAGAUCAAGACAAGAAUAAUGAACCAGAGGUUGCUGACAAUAACCUAGAAACUCAGGAAAUGAUUCAGGAGUCCAAUGAUCAGUCGGAUAGUUUCAAUGAGAUAACUGCUCAACAAGGCUCAAUGUCUAAGGAACCAAAUGACUAUGUCUGGAGAGUUUGUAAUACCACGGCUGGGCCAGACUACAUCCCUUGCCUUGACAAUGUAUAUGCUGUCAGAAGGCUUCCUACUACAAUGCAUUAUGAACAUCGAGAGAGGCACUGCCCUGAUGAUGCUCCUACCUGUCUUGUUCCUCUACCAGCAGGAUACAGAAAGCCAAUUCAAUGGCCUAUAAGCAGGGAUAAGAUAUGGUUUUACAAUGUGCCACACACCGAGCUUGCAAGGAUUAAGGGACGUCAAAACUGGGUUAAAGUUGCUGGUGAAUAUCUCAUAUUCCCUGGAGGUGGAACCCAGUUUGUUCAUGGCGCUAUCCCCUAUAUUGAUCGGAUUGAAGAUGCAAAUCCUGCUAUUGCAUGGGGGAAGAGAACCCGGGUGAUAUUAGAUGUUGGAUGUGGUGUAGGAAGUUUCGGAGGUUAUCUAUUUGAAAGGGAUGUUCUUACUAUGUCGUUUGCUCCCAAAGAUGAGCAUGAAGCUCAAGUUCAGUUCGCACUUGAACGGGGUAUUCCGGCCAUACUAGCAGUCAUGGGCACCAAAAGGCUACCAUUUCCUGGUGGGGUUUUCGAUGCUAUUCACUGUGCUCGCUGCAGAGUCCCUUGGCACAUAGAAGGGGGCAAACUUCUCUUGGAGCUUAACCGCCUCUUACGGCCAGGUGGUUACUUUGUUUGGUCUGCUACUCCACUUUAUCGAAAGGAUCCAGAAAAUGUUGGCAUUUGGAAAGAAAUGUCCAAACUGACUACGGCUAUGUGCUGGAAUUUCACGGUGAUUAAAAAGGACAAACUGAACAAAGUGUCCAUUGCAAUGUACAGGAAACCGACAUCUAAUGAGUGCUACGAAAGUAGAACCCAAAAUGAACCUCCACUCUGCAAUGACUUGGAGGAUGCAAACUCAGCUUGGAAUGUGACACUGCAAGCCUGCAUGCAUAAGGUGCCUACAGACAUGUCGGAACGUGGGUCUCAGUGGCCUGAGAAUUGGCCACUUCGUUUGGGAAAACCACCUUACUGGCUGAAUAAAGUUGCAGUAUAUGGCAAGGUGGCCCAAGGAGAUUUUAAUGCUGACUAUGAGCACUGGAAAAAUGUAGUCUCCCAAACAUAUUUGAAUGGGAUUGGCAUCAGCUGGUCUUCUAUUAGGAAUGUCAUGGAUAUGAGAGCUCUCUAUGGAGGGUUUGCUGCUGCCCUUAAGGACUUAAAAGUGUGGGUAAUGAAUGUUAUCCUGAUUGACUCUCCUGACACACUUCCUAUUAUCUACGAGCGUGGUCUAAUUGGAAUAUACCAUGAUUGGUGUGAAUCAUUCAACACCUACCCAAGAUCAUAUGAUCUCCUCCAUGCGGAUUAUCUCUUUGCCACUCUCAAGAAGAGGUGCAAGUUGGUUCCAGUUCUUGCAGAAGUUGAUCGGAUCUUGAGGCCAGAAGGAAUUCUAAUUGUUAGGGAUGAUAUGGAGAUUAUAUCUGAGAUUGAGAGUAUGGCUAAAUCUCUGCAAUGGGAGGUCAGAUUCGCACACUCAGAGGACAACACGGGGUUGCUUUGUGUUCAGAAGACAUUUUGGCGUCCGGUCGAUGUGGAAACAAUUACUUCGGCCAUUGCUUGAGCACAUGAUUCACUUAUGUUGUUAUCACGAGUUGACUCGUUGCUCGGAUGAGUUUACAAGAUAUACCAACAUCAUACAUUGAGCUUGGAUCAAAUGAGAGGCAAACUAGCUGAUUUGAUGACUCAAGCACACGCGAGCACCAUUAGUAUUGCAUCACGCUGUUGCUGCUCCAUUUGAUUGCUCAAGCCUGAGGUUUAGAUAUAUUAUAAAUAGACAGAUCUGGAUAAAUCUUGUUGAGAUUAUACACGGCAUUGCUCUAGCCGCACAGUCUAGAUUCUGUCUUCCUCCAGAUCAUCCUACUAAUGUCAGCAGGGAGGCCAGAGAAAAUUUGUGAAACCCCUCGGAGAUCCAAAUCUUUCCAAGAUUUGGGUGUACAUGUUCUUGGCCUGUGGUUUCUAAAUACUUUGUGCAGAGGCAGUGCAAGAAGUCCAUAAUAAUCUUUCAAGUAGGAAGGCGAACCGCUUUUGUUGUUGGGGCCUUGCAACACUUUGGAAUCUGUUUCUACUAGUCUUCCUGUUUCCAUAGUACAUAUGACUGUUGUCCCUCAUGGUAUUUGUUAUAAAGUUUAUCAUAGUUGAAAUUCUUUUUGGGUACUCUCACGAGAUCAUAAGGGUUAGUGGGACACUCUUGGUUCAAAGAGGAUGCCUUAUGGUAAGACUUUCGCAGUGCACAUGUCCAGGAUAUCGCCUUGAUUCCUGAAUUGUAUGGUUUUGGAGUGCCGAACGAAAUUUGAUCUUAACACAACAGUCAGGGAAUUCAUUCUCCCCAUCAAUCUUUGAAUGUCUUUUGUCUGUUAAACUACCUCCAUAAUGAUAUAUUAAGUAUCCAGC